rnacentral:rRNA from 1 species
UACGUAGGAGGCAAGCGUUGUCCGGAAUUAUUGGGCGUAAAGAGCUCGUAGGCGGUCUGUCGCGUCGGCUAUGAAAGCCCGGAGCUCAACUCCGGGCCUGCAGUCGAUACGGGCAAACUGGAGUGUUGCAGGGGAGACUGGAAUUCCUGGUGUAGCGGUGAAAUGCGCAGAUAUCAGGAGGAACACCGGUGGCGAAGGCGGGUCUCUGGGCAACAACUGACGCUGAGGAGCGAAAGCGUGGGGAGCGAACGGG